GGGAGUCGCCUGAGAGGCAGGGAAAUAAGGUCCAGAAGUCACCUCACCCUGUGGGCGCUUUGGUCCAGACCUCUGUCUUGCAUGGCAGGGAGCCAGCACGCCCCUCCCCAGGACCCCAAGAAUGAGGGCCCACGAAAUGCAGGCUUUGGUGAAGACAGCCUCAUGAAGCACAGGUCAGGGGCUUCUUGGGAUGUCUGAACAAUCACAUAUGAAUGAGUCACUUACGACAUUUACCUGUUGGCUUCACUCACUUACUUAUCUUAUUAAAGAAUGUCUACU